rnacentral:rRNA from 1 species
UACGAAGGGUGCAAGCGUUACUCGGAAUUACUGGGCGUAAAGCGUGCGUAGGUGGUUGUUUAAGUCUGUUGUGAAAGCCCUGGGCUCAACCUGGGAAUUGCAGUGGAUACUGGGCGACUAGAGUGUGGUAGAGGGUAGUGGAAUUCCCGGUGUAGCAGUGAAAUGCGUAGAGAUCCGGCAGAAGACCGGUGGCGAAGGCGGCCCCCUGGGCAGUAACUGACACUGAGGCGCGACAGCGUGGGGAGCAAACAGG